GGGGGUUUCUUCAACUGCUCCCAUUAGCUGCUCGAAGAAACCUCCCUGGUGACAGCUGGGAGAGACACCAAUCAUUCCAUCCACUUGCCUACAACUUUCCUGGUCCUGUUGUUUAAACUGAGUAAUACUCCAUUGUGUUAAUGUGCCAUGUUCUCUACCCAUUCUUUGGAUGAGGGACAUCUAAGUUGUUUCUACUUCUGGCUAUUAUGAAUAAAGCUGCUAUGAACAUA